GCCACGGACACCCACUUUUGUCUUUUUCCCUCAAUUUUUGUGCUUUUUUUGGUGUUUCGCCCGCUUAUGCGCAUCGCGAUUUCAGGCGUAGCGCAACGGAUUGUACAGCAGUGAAGACGACGCCGACGCCGACGCCGUUGUCGAUGUCGAUGUCGACGUUUACAGCGCGGUAACUGCGAACGAUCGGAGAAUUUCUCUAAAUAAACGCAAAACGCUGGUGCAGUUCAGUAACGCGUAAAAAUUUCACUGCAACGGUUUGCUCCGCCAACGGCAACGGAUGACGAAUAAUCAAACGAAAACAACUUGUUGAAACUACAAUAAAAUCUUAACGAAACUUUGUGAAAAGUGUAAAAACUAAAUAGCAGUGACUGCACUGGGUGUGAAGCGACUAGAAGACAUAAAGACUGGUAGUUGCAAUCAAGAAGAAGAAAAUAAGUAGACUGGUAUUAGCAAAAUAGUGUCU